rnacentral:rRNA from 1 species
UGGGGGAUAUUGCACAAUGGGCGAAAGCCUGAUGCAGCGACGCCGCGUGGGGGAUGAAGGCCUUCGGGUUGUAAACUUCUUUUGCUCUGAACAAGGCAUGCUAAUGGGUGUGUUGAGUGUAGGGGUUGAUUAGCGCCGGCUAACUACGUGCCAGCAGCCGCGGUAAUACGUAGGGCGCGAGCGUUGUCCGGAAUGAUUGGGCGUAAAGGGCUUGUAGGUGGCUGGUUGCGUCUGUCGUGAAAGCUCAUGGCUUAACUGUGGGUUUGCGGUGGGUACGGGCUGGCUUGAGUGCAGUAGGGGAGGCUGGAAUUCCUGGUGUAGCGGUGGAAUGCGCAGAUAUCAGGAGGAAUACCGGUGGCGAAGGCGGGUCUCUGGGCUGUUACUGACACUGAGGAGCGAAAGCAUGGGGAGCGAACAGG